GAUGAACGCUGGCGGCGUGCUUAACACAUGCAAGUCGAACGGAAAGGCCCAAGCUUGCUUGGGUACUCGAGUGGCGAACGGGUGAGUAACACGUGGGUGAUCUGCCCCGCACUUCGGGAUAAGCAUGGGAAACUGGGUCUAAUACCGGAUAGGACAGUGGUUUGGAUGCCAUUGUGGAAAGUUUUUUCGGUGUGGGAUGAGCUCGCGGCCUAUCAGCUUGUUGGUGGGGUAAUGGCCUACCAAGGCGUCGACGGGUAGCCGGCCUGAGAGGGUGUACGGCCACGUGGGGACAGAGAUGCGGCCCGAGCUCGUGCGGGAGGCAGCGGUGGGGAAUAGUCCGAAAGGGGCGGAACCCUAAAUCAGCGACGCCGGGGGGGAGUUGACGGCCUUCGGGUUGAAACCUCCUUUCGCUGGGGGGGAAGGAUUAUUGGACGGCUCCAAUAGAAAAACGCCCGGACACUUUGCU
rnacentral:rRNA from 1 species